UACGGGGGGGGCAAGCGUUGUUCGGAAUUACUGGGCGUAAAGCGCACGUAGGCGGCUUGGUAUGUCGGGUGUGAAAUCCCCGGGCUCAACCUGGGAACUGCAUCCGAAACUGCCUUGCUAGAGUAUGGGAGAGGGAAGUGGAAUUUCCGGUGUAGCGGUGAAAUGCGUAGAUAUCGGAAGGAACAUCAGUGGCGAAGGCGACUUCCUGGACCAAUACUGACGCUCAGGUGCGAAAGCGUGGGGAGCAAACAGG
rnacentral:rRNA from 1 species